rnacentral:rRNA from 1 species
GACGAACGCUGGCGGCGUGCUUAACACAUGCAAGUCGAGCGGUAAGGCCCUUUCGGGGGUACACGAGCGGCGAACGGGUGAGUAACACGUGGGUGACCUGCCCUCAGCUCUGGGAUAAGCCUGGGAAACCGGGUCUAAUACUGGAUAUGACUCCAUGACGCAUGUUGUGGGGUGGAAAGCCUUGUGCGGCUGAGGAUGGGCCCGCGGCCUAUCAGCUUGUUGGUGGGGUGANGGCCUACCAAGGCGACGACGGGUAGCCGGCCUGAGAGGGCGACCGGCCACACUGGGACUGAGACACGGCCCAGACUCCUACGGGAGGCAGCAGUGGGGAAUCUUGCGCAAUGGGCGAAAGCCUGACGCAGCGACGCCGCGUGAGGGAUGACGGCUCGG